UGGGGAAUUUUGGACAAUGGGGGCAACCCUGAUCCAGCCAUCCCGCGUGUGCGAUGAAGGCCUUCGGGUUGUAAAGCACUUUUGGCAGGGAAGAAACAGCCUGGGAUAAUACCCCGGGCGACUGACGGUACCUGCAGAAUAAGCACCGGCUAACUACGUGCCAGCAGCCGCGGUAAUACGUAGGGUGCAAGCGUUAAUCGGAAUUACUGGGCGUAAAGCGUGCGCAGGCGGUUCGGAAAGAAAGGUGUGAAAUCCCAGGGCUUAACCUUGGAACUGCACUUUUAACUACCGAGCUAGAGUACGUCAGAGGGGGGUAGAAUUCCACGUGUAGCAGCGAAAUGCGUAGAGAUGUGGAGGAAUACCGAUGGCGAAGGCAGCCCCCUGGGAUGAUACUGACGCUCAUGCACGAAAGCGUGGGGAGCAAACAGGAUUAGAUACCCUGGUAGUCCACGCCCUAAACGAUGUCAACUAGCUGUUGGGGUUUAUUAACCUUAGUAGCGCAGCUAACGCGUGAAGUUGACCGCCU
rnacentral:rRNA from 1 species